AUAUGCAGAUGACAAACAAAACCAGAUUUGAUUUUUCACCCAAUCCCCCCCCCCGCCUUCCACCUCCCCCCGCUUUUCAGUAGGGAAGGGAUGGGGGGUUGCACAAAGGAGUGAAAGGAGCCUGGGUCUGUGGAUUGAGAAUUAAUGAAAUUAACGUAAUCCUUUCCAUUAGUGGGCUUUUUUGAAAGGCCCCAGAUUUAGGCUUGAUCUCUGCUGCGCCGGCUAAUUGCCCGGGUUAAUCUCAUUAAUGCCAUUGUGCAGAAGUGGUUAGCAGCUCCUCGCCUUGUCUAUUAUGCACCUACUUUACUCGUGUUAGUUUGCAUUAGUGGGUGUGAUUUCCUCCGUCUGAAGAUCAGAUUCAUUAUUUAUACUUCGAAUUGCUCGAGAAACACGUUAAAAAAAUAAAUUUCGGUAUAACCACGCAACUUUUCCCCCUCGAAGUGUUUCUGUACCACGGGGCGAACUUUACUCGGGGAACCGGAGGGGCACUGAGGAGUGCGCUGCAGUCAUUUACACUCUGUUCGCUGUGCAACAUCUUCUGCUGAGUAUCGCUUUCUGUUUUUUAACGAGCCAGGAUGUGGGAAUGUCAAUGACCGCUGCCAUCUCACAUCGCCGAGCUGAGUUGCGGCGAUACGGAGAAACUUCGCCUAUUGCAUGUUCCGAGAAUUUGAAAUGGAGCAGUUUAAAAGUCCGUAAAAUUCUCAGCUCAGACACUCGGCUCUCCUGGUAGCUGCUCUUGUGAUUUGCAGAAUACUUCGUCUGUCACGACUGUCACUGGGAAUCCACAGGAGGUGAACUCAAUCAGAUUAGACUAUUUACCCCAUCAACCCUCCAUCACAGAAGGUAGGAAAUUGUAGGCAUGGAAUGAAAACAAGCUAUUAAUAUCCGUUUACGAGGAACACAUUAUUUUUCCUCCACAAAGACCAUCCUCGUUAGCGCUCACUCGCACUUUGUCCUUUCUUUCCUCGAAAUUCCAGAUUUUGUUACUGCAUCUGAUAUUGACCCAAACCGAAGACCUAUGGCUAGUAAAAGACGCAUAGGAGCGUUAAGAAAAAAAAAAAAAAAAACAACCCAGGACUCGUUUCUCACUUUGAUACACCGCGAUGUGACUAAUAGUUAUCAUCGUUUCUUUUCCUUCAUUUAUUUACCGAUCAAUUAAUUUCUUUGCGCCUUUGGUAUUUAGAGCUGACCUUUGUGCGAA
rnacentral:lncRNA from 1 species